rnacentral:rRNA from 1 species
CACGUAGGGGACGAGCGUUGUCCGGAAUCAUUGGGCGUAAAGCGCGUGUAGGCGGCUCGAUAAGUCUGCUGUGAAAGUCCAAGGCUCAACCUUGGGAUGCCGGUGGAUACUGUCGAGCUCGAGUCCGGAAGAGGAGUGUGGAAUUCCUGGUGUAGCGGUGAAAUGCGCAGAUAUCAGGAGGAACACCAAUGGCGAAGGCAGCACUCUGGGACGUGACUGACGCUGAGACGCGAAAGCGUGGGGAGCAAACAGG